rnacentral:ncRNA from 2 species
GCGGCACUGCGCAACUGGCGAUGGGGCGCCGCGGAACACAUCCGCGGGCCUGAGGUGGUGAACCACCGGGGAGCGCAGCCGGCCCAGGGCAAAAGCCCGGUCCGUUUCAGCCGUUCGCCUGGGCAGCCCUG